GACGAACGCUGGCGGCGUGCUUAACACAUGCAAGUCGAACGGUGAACCGGGCUUCGGCCCGGGGAUCAGUGGCGAACGGGUGCGGAACACGUGGGCAACCUGCCCCUCACUCUGGGAUAACCCCGGGAAACCGGAGGUAAUACCGGAUACUCCCUACCGAUCGCAUGGUUGGUCGGGGAAAGGUCAGCCGGUGAGGGAUGGGCCCGCGGACUAUCAGCCUGUUGGUGGGGUAACGGUCUACCAAAGCGACGACUGUUAGCUGGUCGUAGAGAAAGACCAGCCAGACUGGGACUGAGAUAGGGCCCAGACUCCUACGGGAGGCAGCAGUGGGGAAUCUUGCGCAAUGGGCGAAAGCCUGACGUAGCGACGCCGCGUGGGGGAUGAAGGCCCUAGGGUUGUAAACCCCUUUCGGCAGGGACGAAGCGAUCGUGACGGUAACUGCAGAAGAAGCCUCGGCUAACUACGUGCCAGCAGCCGCAGUAAUAC
rnacentral:rRNA from 1 species